rnacentral:rRNA from 1 species
UGGGGAAUAUUGGACAAUGGGCGCAAGCCUGAUCCAGCAAUGCCGCGUGAGUGAUGAAGGCCUUCGGGUUGUAAAGCUCUUUCGCACGCGACGAUGAUGACGGUAGCGUGAGAAGAAGCCCCGGCUAACUUCGUGCCAGCAGCCGCGGUAAUACGAAGGGGGCUAGCGUUGUUCGGAAUUACUGGGCGUAAAGGGCGCGUAGGCGGUGUGUCAAGUCAGGCGUGAAAGCCCCGGGCUCAACCUGGGAACCGCGCUUGAGACUGGCACGCUCGAGUUCGGGAGAGGAUGGUGGAAUUCCCAGUGUAGAGGUGAAAUUCGUAGAUAUUGGGAAGAACACCGAUGGCGAAGGCAGCCAUCUGGACCGACACUGACGCUGAGGCGCGAAAGCGUGGGGAGCAAACA